GGUUGACCUCGGAUCAGGUAGGGAUACCCGCUGAACUUAAGCAUAUCAAUAAGCGGAGGAAAAGAAACCAACAGGGAUUGCCUCAGUAACGGCGAGUGAAGCGGCAACAGCUCAAAUUUGAAAUCUGGCCUCUUUUGCGGUCCGAGUUGUAAUUUGUAGAGGAUGCUUCGGGCAAGACUGUGGUCUAAUUUGCUUGGAACAGCGAGUCACAGAGGGUGAGAGUCCCGUCUAGGACCGUAAGUCGCGUCCAUGUGAAGCUCCUUCGACGAGUCGAGUUGUUUGGGAAUGCAGCUCUAAAUGGGUGGUAAAUUUCAUCUAAAGCUAAAUAUUGGCCAGAGACCGAUAGCGCACAAGUAGAGUGAUCGAAAGAUGAAAAGCACUUUGAAAAGAGAGUUAAACAGUAUGUGAAAUUGUYGAAAGGGAAGCGCUUGCAACUAGACUUGUGAGUGACGGUUCCCCCGGCCUCUUUGGCCGGGUUACUCCGUCAUCUCCAGGCCAGCAUCGGUUUGAGUGGUCGGUUAAAGACCACGGGAAUGUAUCUACCUCCGGGUCGACUUAUAGCCCGUGGUGUAAUGCGGCCCACCCAGACCGAGGAACGCGCUUCGGCUCGGAUGCUGGCGUAAUAGUUGUAAGCGGCCCGUCUUGAAACACGGACCAAGGAGUCUAACAUCUAUGCGAGUGUUUGGGUGUUAAACCCCUACGCGUAAUGAAAGUGAACGGAGGUAAGAACCCCGUCAAGGGGCGCAUUAUCGACCGAUCUGAUGUCUUCGGAUGGAUUUGAGUAAGAGCAUAGCUGUUGGGACCCGAAAGAUGGUGAACUAUGCCUGAAUAGGGUGAAGCCAGAGGAAACUCUGGUGGAGGCUCGCAGCGGUUCUGACGUGCAAAUCGAUCGUCAAAUUUGGGCAUAGGGGCGAAAGACUAAUCGAACCAUUAAGAAUGAUUGAAAAAGAAUUAGAUGGCUACCGGGUGGUUCUUCAACAGUCCCUUGAGGGCUACAUCGUCCUUCUGGCGGGGUCAACACCCGCAGCAGCUUCGGCUGUUCACAGACUAGGAGACGGUGGUCAUCUCAACUCGAGAGAUGAUGAUGAUAUAGUCGGUUUAGCUAUGCUACGUAGCUAAAUUGUACGCUGGUAGCUGGUUCCUGUCGAAGUUUCCCUCAGGAUAGCAGUAACGUUUUCAGUUUUAUGAGGUAAAGCGAAUGAUUAGAGGCCUUGGGGUUGAAACAACCUUAACCUAUUCUCAAACUUUAAAUAUGUAAGAAGUCCUUGUUACUUAAUUGAACGUGGACAUUUGAAUGUAUCGUUACUAGUGGGCCAUUUUUGGUAAGCAGAACUGGCGAUGCGGGAUGAACCGAACGUGAGGUUAAGGUGCCGGAAUGUACGCUCAUCAGACACCACAAAAGGUGUCAAUGCAUCCAGACAGCCGGACGGUGGCCAUGGAAGUCGGAAUCCGCUUAGGAGUGUGUAACAACUCACCGGCCGAAUGCAUUGGCCCU
rnacentral:rRNA from 1 species